AACUCUUUCAAAUCAAUUAUGAAUUGAAACUUAUUUUCAAUUCUCCCUUUAGUGAUAAUACACUUUUAGGGCUUCCACAAACCAUGAGUGACACCUAGCCGUAUGUCAUGGUUACCCAAGCUAAUCAGAAGAGGUUAAGAACCUAUUCAGUUUAGGAUUACAAAUGCAAUACGGUCAUUCUCUAAUACAAUACUCUCUUGACCACAUUGUUUGGUUUGAUAGUUUAUUCAUGUGUACUAUCCAAUGUGAAUCUUGUGCAUUAUAUGAUUACUUUGAAUGUGAUUUGGAACGCAUUCCUAAAUCUCAUUCAUACUCUGGCCAGAGAUUCUAAAUCAUAUCAUAGAGUAUUCUCCCUCAAACGGUUUGAAGGUUAGAGAUCCCUUGUUGCGCAUUCACUUGCCUCCAUGACUAAGUGGCUUAACCCCAACGAUGUCCGUGGACACCCCGAUGGGGUGACUUUGACAUAAUCAAAGAUCAAGGACUUAACCACAAGACAACUGUGAUGCCUCAGGUCAAAUGACUAAUUUGCAUUAUCCCAACCAUGAGUUCUCAUGUGACAUGAGUAUGAGAACUCUUCGUUGAUCGCGUUCAGUGAACUCAUUCUCUACUUGAGCACCUACGUACUUGUCUUAAUGUCACACACACCAAUGACUCGAGACUAGUCACUCUCCCUGAGAGAAGACAUAGCACGUACCGAUCUUGAACGGACUGUCAAUGCCCAAUUGGCAAUCCUAUGAUGAUCAGGAACAUUUUAGGAUGUGUCUACGAAAGAAUGGUCUCAUGAAUCUAACUUCAUUUAGAUUGCAUUCUCCCAAUCACAUAUUCCUUGGACUUUAUCGUUUAAGCAUAUAACAUUUAUAUGAGACGGCUCAAACAAUAAUCUUUGCCCUUUAUAUUAAACUAGAUUAGUUUAACAUGUGAAAUGUCCGUAAAGUAUCAUCAUAUGAUUGGUUUUAGGGCACAUUUCCAACAAUCUCCCACUUGCACUAGAGCCAAUCAGCUUGGUCAUCAGUGAUGAUACCUCUUCUGUAGUCAUUUCAUAAAUGGCUGAAUAGUAGGCCUAGACAAUGGAUAUCUAUAUGUUAUCCAUAGAAGCAACCUUGAGAAUAACGACGUCACCAUUAUACAUGAUUCUCAAUCAUGUGGUUCAGUCUCUCAUUUGAGUUCGGACCUUGAUGAGACCUUGAUUCCCUGGCUUGAGCUAUCGCCCCAUUAGUGUCAUAGUGUCAGUACACUAGAUACACUUUCUGGUUGGAACCGAAUAGAGAGUUCAUAAAUGAACUUUCCCAUCCAAACAACAUUGUUGUAAACUUCUAUAUAUGGCAAUAUAUUUUGCAUUCAUAAUGGAACACACUAAAGUCAUUACUUUAAUGUUUCCAUCCAAAUAUCUCUUUAGUCAUAAUAAAGAGAUAUCUGUUUAUCUCUUCAUUCAUAAUGAAGAAACAUCCAAUGAUGGAUUAGAUUCAUAAUCUAAUACAUUUACGCUUCCAUUACGUUACUCUAAUUCUUCCUCAUUCUUUGAGGAAUCUAUCCUUUAGUAUUUCUUAAAUACUUAAGGACUCACUUGACAGUUGCCAUGGUUCUGAUCCUGGGCUUGCACUGAUAUCGUCUUGUACCGUUCUAGGUACAACUCAUAUCAAUGUUUUUCAUACAAUAUGAAAUACAUAAAUCACCUUUAUGCGUAUGCAUAAAGGAUUCUAUUUACGCAUUAUUUCUUUGGGAGUCAAAAGGGCACGUUCCCUUUGAGAAGGGCAACUUGCUAGUCACACUAGAGUCAUCCUUCUAUUUGAAGUUUAUCAUCAUAUGAGAAACUUCCUAGCAUCUUUUGUCUAUUAUUAGGAAUUGAUAUAAUCCAAUUAUAUCCUAAAAAAUCUAUCAUUAUAGAUUUCUAUCCCAUGUAUAUAGACUAUGUCUCCCAUAUACAUUCUAUCGUUAUAGAAUGCUUUAAAGUCAUAACUUUAACGAAGAAGUAUUCUUUUUCAUUUCCAAAAUUAAUAUAUCAUAUAUACAUUCAUAUAUAUCACAUAUAUAUAUAUAUAUAUAUAUAUAUAAAUUUUGGGAAUAUGAUUAACUCCCACUAAUCUUUUGUAAACCUAGUAAACAAAAGAUUCAUUUACAUCUUUAUGAGAAAUCAAACGAUUUGAUCCUUUCUCUCAUAAGACGCUUAUAGCUCCCACUAGCUUGCUAAGAUUCCAUGAUGGAUGGAUCUCUACAACUUACAUGUCUUGUGAUUCAUAUAGUUUUAGACAUAUAUUAUUAUCAAGACUAUCUUAAUAAUGGUUUCGGAAACCCAUAUUAUGUCCAAACAUUGAAUCACCAUUUAGUUGUAGCUAGCUAUCUUCGAAUUAAUUGAAACCAAGACUACGUCAAAGAUGGUUUCUUCAAAGUCAACCAUUCUCUUUGAUUGUAGUCACCUUAAGCUACCAAUUAGCUAUGAAGGUUUCAUUAUUUCGAGUCAAAUGGUACUUUACCAUUUCCUUGAGUAUAUAUCAUAUAUAUACACUCAAUGUAGUCAUAAGGAUUUUCAUUCUUAUUUCUUUCGAAUUAAGAGGUGUAACUCUAUGACAUAGUCAUAAAGUUCAAACCAUUCAACUGAGACGGUUUAUAAAUCCUUCUCGACUACCUUGGAGCUUUUGGUAUAGGAACUAGGUUGUUAUAUUUGUUGAUUACUAUCUUGUCUCUCAAAGAACCCAUUCUUUGAGUUCUAUCUCUCGUUCAUUUGCUUUUAGGCAAAUCACAUUGUAGGAUUACAAUGAACUACCCAACAAAACAACAUUUGUUAGUUGGUUUAUAGAAGCGAUAUCCAAAAGUUAAUUUAAGGAUAUCCCACAAGAUUGUUAUCAAACAAAUAUUGCUUAUUAGCACACAACCCCAAAUCUUAACAUGCUUAAGAUUUGUCUUUCUUUCCAACUACAUCUUAUGGAGUCAUGAAAAAUUUGGAAGAUCUUCUAAUUGACAAUCAUAUUGUCUUAGAAGUAUAUAUCCUAUAUAUGGGUAAUUGAUAACAUCCAACGAACUAAAUCUUAUUCAAGUUCGUUCUUCUCCUAAUGGAGAAAUUUAUUAUCUUAUGAUGCUUCUUUCCUUGAUAUCUUUCAAGGAAACUGUUCUAAAGUGUUACCUUUCCUUGGAUCAAAUCUAAGGAGGUAAAUACUUUAGACGUCUUACUCAUCAACUUACAUUUCUUGAAUUCUUUGAAACCUUUUGCAAAGUAUUCGGACUUGUGUUUAUUCAAAAUAAACUAUAGUCCAACCGAGAGUGAUCUUCGGUGAAUGUCAUAUACAACAUGAGUAGUAUUAUGUUGUGACAAGUGCCACUAACAUCUAAGUGAAUUAACCUCAACAACUUUGUGAUUCUUUCUUCUUUUCCAAAAGAAUAAAGAUUCGAACAUUUCGCCUCUAUACAAUUUUAACAAGAAGGUAUUGGAUCCGGAUCUAACGAUCCAAAGCAUCCAUCUAUGACCAACUCGUAAUUUAUGUUUUAGAGGUAUCACAACUUUAGUUGGGAUUAGUCACUACCUUGCAACCUUUUGGGUUUUAAGCAUCAUUAUAUUCUAAACAGUUAACACUACCAUAUCAUCUCUACUAUAGAGACAAUCAAUUAGAUUACUAUAAUCCAAUCAUUGAUUAAUAAAGAACAAUGUUUUGUCAAACAAAACAUUCAUCCAUCUCUACUAUAGUGACGGAAUUAAGUUCCUUAAAAUUGGAAUGUAAAGACAAUCUUUGGUUUUUCCAAUUUCUUUGGUAGUUCAUAUGAGGAAGUAAGUACUAUCUGCUUUCGCAGAGAUCUAUAUUUUAUUCACGUUCCGAAUGUGAAGUACCUUUCUCUUCUCUCAUUAAUCUUCUACUUCUUAUUAGUCACACUUUUACAACGAUUGUAAAACAUAGUUACUAAUACGGAAUCAAGCAUUCAAGUAGAAGAACCAACUGUUUUGAACUAUUCAAGAACAAUUUACAACACCUUCGAAAGGUGUGUUCUUGACACUUGCAAGACAUUUCUUGCAAAUACCCCUUCCAAUGUCCAUCCUUUCAUAAAGAAAGUUUGUUCCCUUGGAGUUAUUUUAUCUUUCUUCAUUUGACUUCUCCUUUGACUACAAUAGUCAUGGUCCCUAAACUCCCACUAUCUCUCUUGAAACUUAUUUCAAUUGUGUUAUACACAUCAAACAUUUUGGAGAGCAUGUGGUUAUUGUUCACUAUAUAGUUUACAAUAAACUUAGUGAACCAUUAGGAUAGGGACACAAAGGUGAAGUCCUUGCCUAGUUUCCGUCUCGUUAAGUGGUUUAACACUUCAACACUCAAUGAUUCAAAAUCAUCAUAAGUCCAUGUUGAUGGACUAUUUUUGUCAACCAACCAUUAUGUUCUAAACAUAAUUACAAACUUUCAAGAGUUGUUUCAAAGCAACUCUCAUUUCUUCAUACAACAAUUUGUAAGUGAAGAAUCAUGGCACAUAAAGUGUCCAUGCCUUUGUGCUUUCUUCUCAAGUUCCUUGUUCAUGUAACAAAGAAACAAGCACUAAGUGUUUGCAUUGACUAAGGGUUGUUCAAAGCAACUCUAUUUUUCUUCAUACAACAUUUGUAAUUGAAGAAUUAUGACAUUUAAAAGUGUCCUUGUCAUUAUGCUAAUCUUCGUAAGUUCCUUUGUUCAUAUAACGAAGGAAUAAGCAUUGGUUGUUUGUGUUGUUCUCUUCAUGAUAGACUUUUCUAACAUGUUCUUCCAAUGAUACAUUAUCAUUAGGAAGAUUGUGAGGAUGAGACUACUUAGGUACAUAUUACAAUCCAUUUAAGACAAUCUUUGGGAUUGUGGUACCAAGUCCGGAAACUAAAACAUUCGGUUUUUAUUUGUCAAGUGUUGGAUAGCGUUUGCAAAUAUAUUGGUAAACAAAUACAUAACGAAUAUAAAUUGAUUGAUUUUAAGCCAUUUGAUUCGGGUCUUUAAAUCAAAUAGCACCACCCACUAUUUUUGGCAAAUUUCAUAUCCCUCAUUGGAAUUCGAGAGUUUUGGAUGAAACUCCUAGUAGGUUAUGGGAGGCUCACUAUUACCAAGCCCACCACACAAUGAUAUGAAAACUUUAUGCCUACUCCCACUUGAGGGAGGGCCGGUUUUGGAAGAAGAAAUGGAGUGAUGUGUGUGUUGAUUUGUAGUUUGACAUAAAGCAUGCAAGUGAUGCAAGUGGUGUGUAUGAAAGGAAAUUAAUCCUUUCACACCCACCAUAAUAUCUCUUACAUCUCUUACACCAUAUAAACAAAUAUCUAAAACAUUUAAACAUUUGAAAAAACAUAAAACAUAAACUUUAUGAAAUAAAUCAAAACUUUGAAUCAAAACACAAACCUUUUUGUUCUUGGCAAAAAUGUCAAGAACAAUGAAGAACAUUCAUGAAAAACCCAAAAUUUUUCCAUGAACUUUUUCCACCCAAAAACAUUCCCAAACCAUUCAAACUUUAGGGAAAUAACAUCUAACCAAACUAGGGUACAUAAGGGUUCCAAAAGUCACUUGAAAACACUUUUAACAAGUCAAACAAGAACCCAAAAAAUCACCCUAUAUAUUUGGCCGAAAAUUCCCAAAAGCAUGGCACCAAAUUUUAGCUCCAAUAUUCAUGCUCAUAUGAACUACAUCUACAACAUUUGAGAUGGCAAAUUUUCUAAUAAAAUUUACAUUCAAAGAAACAAGAAUAAAGCUUGUAACAUAUUACAACUUUUAAAUCACAAACUAUGAACUACAAAACCCAAAAGGAUUCACCAACUACUAGACCUAGGCUCUGAUACCACUUGAAGGAAAAUUUUGUGAAAACAUGUUCAUUUAAGCAACAUCAAUAAGCAUGCAAUUAACAAAUUAAAGGCGGAAUCAUGCUAGCAUGCACUUAAAAAACAAAACAUUAACCAAGAAAUUCAAAGCCUAGUAGAUUGGUGAACCAAUAAAAACUCAAAACAAAGUGAGUUGAAAUAUAUACCUUUGUAGAUUCCUCUUUGUAUUUAAACAAAGGCUAAUCACCCAAGAGAUAGGGCCUUCAUUCCUUGCAUCUUAGAUCCAUGGAUUUGGAUGGAUCUACACCAAAGGAGAGCAUGGAUGAUAAAUGAGUGACCAUGGAAGAAUAGAUGGCUAGCUACAAACUUCCAUGGUGGCCGGCCUUUCUAGAGAGAAAUGGAGAGACAAUUCUCACCAAUUUUCCCCAAAACAAAACCCUUAAUGAAUAAAAGGCUAUAAAAGUCAUAUUUAUACCCUUUAUUCAUUUGGAAGUGGCAAACUUGUAAUUAAAGCAAGUUCACUACCCUUUCUCUAUAUGGCCGGCCAUGGGGGGUUGUUUGGGCUUUUGGGUCUUAGUGAAUCAUUAUUCAUUAAGUUGUCAUACAACUUAAGUCAAUGGGCUUGACGUUCGAAGCCCAUUGGGCCUUAAGGUCCAAAACCUAUCCCGAGGUCUUUAACGAACUUAUUCGUUUGAUUAAUUAACAUAUUAAUUAAUCCUUGCCAUAAAUAAUUAAACUAUUCAAUUAUUCUUACUCAUUUAGUUUGUUUCAUCCAUCUCCACCUUAUACGGUGUACGAUCCAUUAGGUUCCUUUUAGCGAGGCAGUGGGCGAUCAAAACUCUUUCAAAUCAAUUAUGAAUUGAAACUUACUUUCAAUUCUCCCUUUAGUGAUAAUACACUUUUAGGGCUUCCACAAACCAUGAGUGACACCUAGCCGUAUGUCAUGGUUACCAAGCUAAUCAGAAGAGGUUAAGAACCUAUUCAGUUUAGGAUUACAAAUGCAAUACGGUCAUUCUCUAAUACAAUACUCUUGACCACAUUGUUUGGUUUGAUAGUUUAUUCAUGUGUACUAUCCAAUGUGA
rnacentral:lncRNA from 1 species